rnacentral:rRNA from 1 species
CCUACGGGAGGCAGCAGUGGGGAAUUUUGGACAAUGGGCGCAAGCCUGAUCCAGCAAUGCCGCGUGAGUGAAGAAGGCCUUCGGGUUGUAAAGCUCUUUUGUCAGGGAAGAAACGGUGGGGGCUAAUAUCUCCUACUAAUGACGGUACCUGAAGAAUAAGCACCGGCUAACUACGUGCCAGCAGCCGCGGUAAUACGUAGGGUGCAAGCGUUAAUCGGAAUUACUGGGCGUAAAGCGUGCGCAGGCGGUUUUGUAAGUCUGUCGUGAAAGCCCCGGGCUCAACCUGGGAAUUGCGAUGGAGACUGCAAGGCUUGAAUCUGGCAGAGGGGGGUAGAAUUCCACGUGUAGCAGUGAAGUGCGUAGAGAUGUGGAGGAACACCGAUGGCGAAGGCAGCCCCCUGGGUCAAGAUUGACGCUCAUGCACGAAAGCGUGGGGAGCAAACAGGAUUAGAUACCCUGGUAGUCCACGCCCUAAACGAUGUCUACUAGUUGUCGGGUUUUAAUUAACUUGGUAACGCAGCUAACGCGUGAAGUAGACCGCCUGGGGAGUACGGUCGCAAGAUUAAAACUCAAAUGAAAUUGACGG